UUUAUAUAGUUCCCACUGUAUUUUUAAUAUAUUUGUACAAAGCACCAUAACACUUUUGGUUUUUUAGGAAAUCACUUAAUUGGCGGCGGGAGGUAUCACUUUCUUCAAUAAUUUCAGUUGCCAACACUAGUCUAUGAAAGGUGAAUCUUGAACAGUUGAAAAAAAUGUGAUUCAUGUCGGCGUUCUCUUCGUUACAAAAAGUGCAAUUAUUGCUGCUUAUUAUGUUCAAUCUCGCAAGGUGUGCAGGUGCAGUGUUAUGACCAAAUCUGAGUCUGUUUAUUGUUGUGAUAAAGUCACGGCUCGCUAUCUUCAGCUCAUUGUACCAUGGAUUUGUCGGAAAAUCCGGCACAAAGUUGGGGACAGCCCAGUCAGAAGAUCAUGAGGUGAAGCUAAUGGACCAUCUGUGAUGAUUGGGUGAGAUCGUGGAUGAGAGAAAUGAAGCUGUCUGAACAACUUCGUCCUCUACGGAACCCAUACUGAAUUUGAGGAAUGAUGUUAUGAGAUUCUGCGUACCAAUCCAGGCGGUUCUUUAGCAUAUUUUCAAAUAUCUUACCAAUACAUGAUGAUAAAGAUAUUGGCCGAUAAGAACUGGCCUCCUCUGGUGGUUUAUCUUGUUUAAGUAUGGGUAUCACACAUUGAGUCUUCCAUGAGAUUGGUAUCAGUUUUUUAAGCCAAAGACAAUUUAAAAUACACAGUAAUAUUUUUUGGAUAGAUUCUGGUAGUUCUUUUAUUAAUAUAUACGGAAAAUCGUCCAAACCAGGGCUAGUAUUUUUUCUAGAUUUUAUACUUGUUAAAAAUUCUGACCAUGAGAAAGGAUCCAAUAGAAAUCCUGAUUGUGGAUUUUCAUUGUUCAUAUUAAAAUAAGUUUCUAACGAAUCAGGAUUAACUAAAUUAGAAUUAUCUGAUAAUUUAUCUAACAAUGGUUGCACAAAAUCAUUUUGAUAUGACUUAUUAUUGGUUCUAAUACCCUUAAAUCUUUUAAUAAGGUUCCAGAUUUUACUUAUAGGAGUAGUUCUAUUGAAAUUAUUACAAAAA